rnacentral:snRNA from 1 species
UUACUUUUGGCUCUAUAAUAUCA